rnacentral:rRNA from 1 species
AGCGAACCGGGGGAACUGAAACAUCUAAGUACCCCGAGGAAAAGAAAUCAACCGAGAUUCCCCCAGUAGCGGCGAGCGAACGGGGAGCAGCCCAGAGUCUGAAUCAGCUUGUGUGUUAGUGGAACGGUCUGGAAAGUCCGACGGUACAGGGUGAUAGUCCCGUACACCAAAAUGCACAGGUUGUGAACUCGAAGAGUAGGGCGGGACACGUGGUAUCCUGUCUGAAUAUGGGGGGACCAUCCUCCAAGGCUAAAUACUCCUGACUGACCGAUAGUGAACCAGUACCGUGAGGGAAAGGCGAAAAGAACCCCGGCGAGGGGAGUGAAAAAGAACCUGAAACCGUGUACGUACAAGCAGUGGGAGCCUCUUUAUGGGGUGACUGCGUACCUUUUGUAUAAUGGGUCAGC